GAUGAACGCUGGCGGCGUGCCUAAUACAUGCAAGUCGAGCGAAUGGACGAGAAGGUUGCUUCUCUGAUGUUAGCGGCGGACGGGGGAGUAAGACGUGGAUAACCUACCUAUAAGACUGGGAUAACUGCGGGAAACCGUAGCUAAUACCGGAUAAUAUUUUGAACCGCAUUGUUCAAAAGUGAAAGACGGUCUUGCUGUCACUUAUAGAUGGAUCCGCGCUGCAUUAGCUAGUUGGUAAGGUAACGGCUUACCAAGGCAACGAUGCAUAGCCGACCUGAGAGGGUGAUCGGCCACACUGGAACUGAGACACGGUCCAGACUCCUACGGGAGGCAGCAGUAGGGAAUCUUCCGCAAUGGGCGAAAGCCUGACGGAGCAACGCCGCGUGAGUGAUGAAGGUCUUCGGAUCGUAAAACUCUGUUAUUAGGGAAGAACAUAUGUGUAAGUAACUGUGCGCCUCUUGACGGUACCUAAUCAGAAAGCCACGGCUAACUACGUG
rnacentral:rRNA from 1 species